rnacentral:rRNA from 1 species
AGCAGCCGCGGUAAUUCCAGCUCCAAUAGCGUAUAUUAAAGUUGUUGCAGUUAAAAAAGCUCGUAGUUGAAUUUCGGGGUUCUACCGUUGGUCAGGCUAUUGUCUGUACUGGCGUGUAGAAUUUCUACCUUCUGGGGAACUAUCAUGUUAUUAAUUUAGCGUGGUAGGAAACCAGGACCUUUACCUUGAAAAAAUUAGAGUGUUCAAAGCAGGCUUAUGUCUGAAUACAUUAGCAUGGAAUAAUAAAAUAGGACGGUGGUCCUGUUUUGUUGGUUUCUGAAUCACCGUAAUGAUUAAUAGGGAUAGUUGGGGGCAUUAGUAUUCAAUUGUCAGAGGUGAAAUUCUUGGAUUUAUUGAAGACUAACUACUGCGAAAGCAUUUGCCAAGGAUGUUUUCAUUAAUCAAGAACGAAAGUUAGGGAUCGAAGACGAUCAGAUACCGUCGUAGUUUAACCAUAAACUAUGCCGACUAGGGAUCGGACGAUGUUAACUUUUCUUGACUCGUUCGGCGUCCUUACGGG